rnacentral:rRNA from 1 species
CCUACGGGAGGCAGCAGUAGGGAAUCUUCCACAAUGGGCGCAAGCCUGAUGGAGCAACACCGCGUGAGUGAAGAAGGGUUUCGGCUCGUAAAGCUCUGUUGUUGGAGAAGAACGUGCGUGAGAGUAACUGUUCACGCAGUGACGGUAUCCAACCAGAAAGGCACGGCUAACGACGUGCCAGCAGCCGCGGUAAGACGUAGGUGGCAAGCGUUCUCCGGAUUUAGUGGGCGUAAAGCGAGCGCAGGCGGUUGCUUAGGUCGGAGGUGAAAGCCUUCGGCUUAACCGAAGAAGUGCAUCGGAAACCGGGCGACUUGAGUGCAGAAGAGGACAGUGGACCUCCAUGUGUAGCGGUGUACUGCGUACAUCUCUGGCACACCACCAGUGGCGCAGGCGGCUGUCUGGUCUGCAACUGCCGCUGAGGCUCGAAAGCCUGGGUAGCGAACAGGAUUAGAUACCCGGGUAGUC